CGCACGGGUGCGUAACACGUGGGCAAUCUGCCCUUCGAUGGGGAAUAACUUCGGGAAACCGAAGCUAAUUCCGCAUAACAUUCCCUGGACUUCGGUUCGAGGACUCAAAGCCGUAAGGCGUCGAAGGAGGAGCCCGCGCACGAUUAGCUAGUUGGUAGGGUAACGGCCUACCAAGGCUGCGAUCGGUAGCCGGCCUGAGAGGGCGGUCGGCCACAUUGGCACUGAGACACGGGCCAG
rnacentral:rRNA from 1 species